rnacentral:rRNA from 1 species
UUGACCUCGGAUGCAGG